UGUAAAUGUAAUGUAAUGUAAAUGUAGUGUAGUGUAAAUGUAAUGUAAUGUAGUGUAAAUGUAAUGUAGUGUAAAUGUAGUGUAGUGUAAAUGUAGUGUAAAUGUAAUUGUAGUGUAAAUGUAAUGUAAUGUAAACGUAGUGUAAAUGUAAAUGUAGUGUAAAUGUAGUGUAAAUGUAAUGUAGUGUAAAUGUAGUGUAGUGUAAAUGUAAUGUAAUGUAAUGUAGUGUAGUUGUAAUGUAAUGUAGUGUAGUGUAAAUGUAAUGUAAUAUAGUGUAGUGUAAAUGUAAUAAAUGCGGCCACAGAUUCGAAUCUUAAAC
ensembl:lncRNA